UACGGGGGGGGGCAAGCGUUGUUCGGAAUUACUGGGCGUAAAAGGGCUUGUAGGUGGCCAACUAAGUCAGACGUGAAAUCCCUCGGCUUAACCGGGGAACUGCGUCUGAUACUGGAUGGCUAGAGUGUGGGGAGAGGGAUGCGGAAUUCCAGGUGUAGCGGUGAAAUGCGUAGAUAUCUGGAGGAACACCGGUGGCGAAGGCGGCAGUCCUGGACCAACACUGACGCUGAGUGAGCGAAAGCCAGGGGAGCAAAGCGGGG
rnacentral:rRNA from 1 species